AAUUCAACAUACAUCUUUGCAGAUGAUAUCAGAUGGCCACUUGGCUCUGUCCCAUUUAUGUUUACUUGUUUGGUGCUCUUCCCAUUGUAAGAAGUUUUCUUUGCCAUUUUGAUAUUGAAAAUAGAGAUUAAAGGCUUUACUUGUGUGAUCAUUCAUAUAGCCUGCCUCCUCUGUGCUACUGUCUUUGAAGAUCUGGGAUCUUGAAAUUCCCCUUUCCUAAUGCACAUAAUGAGAUUUUUUUUUUGUUGAUAAGUUUAGGGCUUUGUCGGUACGUUCAAGAUUGAAUUAAUAGGUUCAACUUGGGAAAAAAAAAGGGUUCAACUAGGAUAAAACGUGAACCUUGACAUGGGUGUGGAAUCCACGCCGGAUUUGGUCAACCCAACUUGGGUAGUUUGACUACACAUGUGGCCUACAAGUAUAUUUUGAUUGGGAAUUUGGUUUGAUUUUGGGUUUAUGUCAUACACAUAUCACAUAAAGUACCAUAACACUUUGCUAGAUACGAGAUAACUUAUGAAUACCAAUUUAAGUGUUCACAAGGAAUUCAGCUAUACACGAGAUAACUUAUGAAUAAAAGAUUAUCAUACACAUAUUCACAUAAGAGUAUUAUUUUUGCAUAUAGUAUGGCGUUUGAAUUAUGCAACUUUGAGAUCAUCUCAGAGCAAAUCAGCCUCUACUUUUGUGCCUAGUAUUGGGGAACUGUCGAAUGAACCAAAAUAUUUUGUUAUCUGUGAAUUUAGAUUCGCCUUCGGUUCUGCACUUUGGUAGUAAAAGCUAUUUCUCGAAACUUUACAUUUCAUGUUCCUUCUUCUGAAUGGCUUUCGUAACAUGAAAUCUUUUGGUUUACUCUUCUGCUAGAGUUCCCUUUUAAUUGUAUUAUUUGGCUGGACUCUUCCGAAUGGAUGCAGACGUUUGAUGCUGUUGAUGGAAAGCAAGGAAGACGGAUGAAUUCCACUGGUUUACCAGGAGAGCUUUUUGAUCAUGGAUGAUGCGCUUGCAUGAGUAGUAUGUCCUGUUUUCCAGUAUGUCCUGUUUUCCAAUAAUCCCUUUUCUUGCUCGUAUAUGUGGUAGGCGCACAUCACAAGUUUGAAUCCUAGCUGGUGAACCGAGUCCUUUAUUUUAGAGGAUAAGGGUAGAGGAUGGGCCCAUUAGCUACCAAAUUUGGAAACUGGAAACAACAGAAAUCUCAGUAAUCAAGAAAAGAAAACUAUAUAUUUCACCAACCCUCUAAUUCCUCCGGUAGUAAAUGGACCAACAGAGAGGGUCUCAUGAUGAUAUAUUUCAGAAUUUCUUUACAGCUCUAGUGGGUGCUGAGUGGCGGCUCAACAAUUUGGGAAGUCUACGCCACUUGUGAUUUGGUUUCUUUUCUGAACGAUUGGUGAGUUGAUACUUUUUCCUUCUCAAAUGAUUAAGUGGAAGUAGCAAUAUCUACUACAGCAAUUCAGAGGAAGAGCUAACUCCCUUUUUCUCUUCACCGACGAGGCAAUGGAACAUAUAUUCCAGGGAUCGUAAAACAGCAAUGGAUUUUGUUUGUCAGAAGAAGAGUCCAGAGUUUUUAAAAUAAGCACUUUUCUAGAAAAAUAAGCACUUUUGGAAGAAAAAUAAGCUUGGCCAAACGGGCUAUAAGUCUUUGCUUUAGACGAACACCGGAAGACAAGGUUAGGGCGUCGGGUAGCGUAGCGCAUUUGUUUUUGGUACAGAGGCGAUGAGUGGUGCUAACUUGGUGACUCGGUCACCUAGGCCGGCAGGUCAGGGCAGGCUCUAGUGUUGGUGAUCAAGAGCACGACGGAAUGGACUCAUUCCCAGGACUUAAGUCAAAUCUUCGGAAUGACAAAGCAACGGGAGAGAGCUCUUACCCACUUGCCAGCUGAGCAAGUCGAAUAUUGCAGUGACUUCCCAAGAGAAUGUACUCCCAAAACGACCUCCAAUGUCGGAAAUAAGAAUCUUCCUCUUCGAAGUCAAUCAUGGGGAAUGACAGUAAUGAAGGUGAGCUAAUAGAUCAAUGGGAAAAUGAGAUUUUUGAGAAUUAGGGAGCACAGUGUCUGAAUUGGAGUUGUUUUAUGUCGUUGAGGGAGUGCUUCUCCGAUUUUCGGGGCUGGAAUUCGCGCAGGAAAUGGAGCUGAAGGAGGGAAAAAUCGGGAGCUUUAGGAGGGAAGCAAAAUCAAAUUUGUUUCUAAUUUGGGCAAAACAUGUUAUUUAUACAAAUGAACUAUUUUGUAUUUUUCCAAGACUUUGGCCUUGGAUGCAAGUCUUCUAACACAUUCUAGAGCUAAUUCUCCCUAAUUAGCUAGUUAGAUGGAAGUGUUCUGGUGACAAAUGUUCACUAUAGGGGCCAAUGACUGGAUCUUGUGAUAUUUAUUCAAAAGCUUGAAUUCUGUUUCAAAA